rnacentral:rRNA from 1 species
UCGAGCGAACUGAUUAGAAGCUUGCUUCUAUGACGUUAGCGGCGGACGGGUGAGUAACACGUGGGCAACCUGCCUGUAAGACUGGGAUAACUUCGGGAAACCGAAGCUAAUACCGGAUAGGAUCUUCUCCUUCAUGGGAGAUGAUUGAAAGAUGGUUUCGGCUAUCACUUACAGAUGGGCCCGCGGUGCAUUAGCUAGUUGGUGAGGUAACGGCUCACCAAGGCAACGAUGCAUAGCCGACCUGAGAGGGUGAUCGGCCACACUGGGACUGAGACACGGCCCAGACUCCUACGGGAGGCAGCAGUAGGGAAUCUUCCGCAAUGGACGAAAGUCUGACGGAGCAACGCCGCGUGAGUGAUGAAGGCUUUCGGGUCGUAAAACUCUGUUGUUAGGGAAGAACAAGUACGAGAGUAACUGCUCGUACCUUGACGGUACCUAACCAGAAAGCCACGGCUAACUACGUGCCAGCAGCCGCGGUAAUACGUAGGUGGCAAGCGUUA